GGCGUCUUACCCAAGCGGUAAGGGAGAGGUCUGCAAAACCUUUAUGCAGCGGUUCGAUUCCGCUAGACGCCU
rnacentral:tRNA from 3 species